rnacentral:rRNA from 1 species
AUGGCAUGGGCUUUUGAAUAUGUGCAUCAAUGCCAUCACUCAAAGAUUGAAAUGGUGAUUUUAAAACUUGAUUUUGAAAAGGCAUUUGAUCAGCUUGACUAUAACACUAUCAUGGAACUGCUUACCGCCAAAGGAUUUGGACAAAGGUGGAUGACCCGGAUUGCUAUGGUUUCCAACACUGGUUUUCUUCUGUACUGCCUAAUGGUAACAGAAAACCUGGAAAACAAUUUUUGUGCACGAGGUGCCAGACAAGGAUAUCCACUUUCACCCCUCAUUUUUGUGUUAGCUGUUGGCCUCCUAUAG